rnacentral:piRNA from 1 species
UAAACCAAAGGGCAGACAGUUAAAAGC